GUGAAGAAGGGAACAGGGUGCAGUCCAACACAAAGGAGGACCCACCUCCUACCAGAGAGCAGAAAUGAUCUUAGUACCUUUGUGUCCCUUGGCCAGCUCCAGUGGCGGUGGUGAUCUCAGAGACUUCCAGCUGUUCUCUCUCUCCCAGCCUUUAGCUGGGAAAAGGGUUUGUCCCUGUAAUACACUUUUUGUGGAGGACCUCACUUAUGUGAAUUUCAUGUGACACAGUGCCUUUCUUAUGAAUUUCCUUAUUCUGACUGUGUUUGUGUACUCCAGUUUAUUGCAGUUGCCACACCAAAAGAAAUACUAGAUUUUUAUAUUACUUGUGGGAUAGGAUGUGCAUUUUUAUUGGUAUUUAUCAUUUUAUUUGCCACAAAUGACAAAACCUUAUCUAAAAUUGCUACACUUGUGUUUGGAUUUUGGACAGGUUUUGUGUGGCUGCUUAAUUUCGUUCAAUAUGCUCUAUGAAUUGCUGCUGAGAAAACUUGAAAAUACUGAUACGAGAUAAGCCUUAAUUGAACUUCUAAAA
rnacentral:lncRNA from 1 species